GUUGAACGCUGGCGGCAUGCCUUACACAUGCAAGUCGAACGGCAGCACGGUUGCUUGCUCCUGGUGGCGAGUGGCGAACGGGUGCGUAAUACAUCAGCACAUGUCCUGUAGGGGGGUAUAGUCCGGCUAAAGCUGGGUUAAUACCGCUUACGAUCUAUGGAAUCAAGCGGGGGACCUUCGGUCCUCGCGCUGUUGUGUUGGCCGAGGGGGGGUUAGCUUGUUGGUGGGGUAUAGGCCUACCAAGGCGACGAUAAGUCGCUGGUCUGAGAGGACGACCAGCCACACGAGAUCUGAGACGCGACCCAGACUACUAUGGGAGGCAGCAGUGGGGAAUUUUGGACAAUGGGCGAAGGCCUGAUCCAGCAAUGCCACGUGUGUUGAAAAGGCCCGCGGGUUGUAAAGCACUUCUGUCCGUAUAGAAAUACUUGGCCCUAAUACGGUCGGUGGAUGACGGUACCGGAAGAAUAAGCACCGGCUAACUACGUG
rnacentral:rRNA from 1 species